rnacentral:rRNA from 1 species
UACGUGGGGACCGAGCGUUGUCCGAAGUUACUGGGCGUAAAGGGCGUGCAGGUGGCUCGGUAAGCUUGGCGUGAAAGCCCCCGGCCCAACCGGGGAGGGUCGUCGAGGACUGCCGGGCUUGAGGGGCGCAGGGGUCGGUGGAAUUCCGGGUGUAGUGGUGAAAUGCGUAGAGAUCCGGAGGAACACCAGUGGCGAAAGCGGCUCUCUGGGACGGUACUGACGCUGAGACGCGAAAGCGUGGGGAGCAAACAGG